rnacentral:rRNA from 1 species
GUGUCAGCAGCCGCGGUAAAACGUAGGAGGCGAGCGUUAUCCGGAUUUACUGGGCGUAAAGCGCGUGCAGGCGGAUCGGAAAGUUGGAUGUGAAAGCUCCCGGCUUAACCGGGAGAGGUCGUUCAAAACUACCGGUCUUGAGUGCAGUAGAGGGAAGUGGAAUUCCAGGUGUAGUGGUGAAAUGCGUAGAGAUCCGGAGGAACACCAGUGGCGAAAGCGGCUUUCUGGACUGUAACUGACGCUGAGGCGCGAAA